AGAGUUUGAUCCUGGCUCAGGACGAACGCUGGCGGCGUGCUUAACACAUGCAAGUCGAACGGAAAGGCCCUGCUUGCAGGGUGCUCGAGUGGCGAACGGGUGAGUAACACGUGGGUGAUCUGCCCCUUACUUUGGGAUAAGCCUGGGAAACUGGGUCUAAUACUGGAUAGGACCAUGCUGUAGGUGGUGUGGUGGAAAGAUUUUUUCGGUAAGGGAUGAGCUCGCGGCCUAUCAGCUUGUUGGUGGGGUAAUGGCCUACCAAGGCGUCGACGGGUAGCCGGCCUGAGAGGGUGUACGGCCACAUUGGGACUGAGAUACGGCCCAGACUCCUACGGGAGGCAGCAGUGGGGAAUAUUGCACAAUGGGCGGAAGCCUGAUGCAGCAACGCCGCGUGCGGGAUGACGGCCUUCGGGUUGUAAACCGCUUUCGCCUGUGACGAAGCGUGAGUGACGGUAAUGGGUAAAGAAGCACCGGCUAACUACGUGCCAGCAGCCGCGGUGAUACGUAGGGUGCGAGCGUUGUCCGGAUUUAUUGGGCGUAAAGGGCUCGUAGGUGGUUGAUCGCGUCGGAAGUGUAAUCUUGGGGCUUAACCCUGAGCGUGCUUUCGAUACGGGUUGACUUGAGGAAGGUAGGGGAGAAUGGAAUUCCUGGUGGAGCGGUGGAAUGCGCAGAUAUCAGGAGGAACACCAGUGGCGAAGGCGGUUCUCUGGGCCUUUCCUGACGCUGAGGAGCGAAAGCGUGGGGAGCGAACAGGCUUAGAUACCCUGGUAGUCCACGCUGUAAACGGUGGGUACUAGGUGUGGGGUCCAUUCCACGGGUUCCGUGCCGUAGCUAACGCUUUAAGUACCCCGCCUGGGGAGUACGGCCGCAAGGCUAAAACUCAAAGGAAUUGACGGGGCCCCGCACAAGCGGCGGAGCAUGCGGAUUAAUUCGAUGCAACGCGUAGAACCUUACCUGGGUUUGACAUGGAUCGGGAGUGCUCAGAGAUGGGUGUGCCUCUUUUGGGGUCGGUUCACAGGUGGUGCAUGGCUGUCGUCAGCUCGUGUCGUGAGAUGUUGGGUUAAGUCCCGCAACG
rnacentral:rRNA from 1 species